UACGUAGGGGGCAAGCGUUGUCCGGAUUUAUUGGGCGUAAAGAGCGUGUAGGCGGCCAGACAGGUCCGUUGUGAAAACUGGAGGCUCAACCUCCAGACGUCGAUGGAAACCAUCUGGCUAGAGUCCGGAAGAGGAGAGUGGAAUUCCUGGUGUAGCGGUGAAAUGCGCAGAUAUCAGGAAGAACACCCGUGGCGAAAGCGGCUCUCUGGGACGGUACUGACGCUGAGACGCGAAAGCGUGGGGAGCGAACAGG
rnacentral:rRNA from 1 species